rnacentral:lncRNA from 1 species
AUUUUCUUUUCUUUCUUUUUUGUGCCACAGUCCAGCUACAUGUCCCAGACUCUCCUGGAGCUGGUGACUCUCCUGCCUCGACCUUUCAAGCGCUGCUGGGAUUACAGGCGUGCCAGCACAUCGGUUGCGUCCAGUUCCUGCUGGCACUGGGAGCUGCUCCCUAGGCAUGGUGCUUGGCCUCUGGCUUCUGGGCCUAGCGUUUGGCCUCCGAGGUCCCAGAAGCAACGGAGCUCACGGUGCUCCUCCUGGCUCUUGGCCUCUGUAACCAUUGUCGAUUACGAUGAGCCAAAGCUUCCUGGAGGAGAUGCUGCUCCAAGGUGAUCCUGGAACAGGUGCUGUAAGACAAAGCCAACAGAAGCCGAAUUCCUGAUGGACCUGAGCGCCUGUCUUGUCUCUCCUGUUGCCGUGCAGAAUGGCAGGAGCGAUUCCGCAGAGCACCCACGAAGACAUCUACGAGUUUUACGCAGGCAGUGCUAAUCUGCCAGGCUGCAUUUCUUCUUAAUUCACGUGACUUUGGCUGGUCUCUUUCUGUCUUUGUCUCUGUCUCUCUGUCUCUGUGUCUGUAUGCAUGAAUUCGCAUGUGGGAAUGUUGUUUAUUUCACUGGCAUCUUGAUUCUUUUAAAGUUUCUGUGACCUUUUCCCAAACAAAGGAUUUGAAGCCUUGUUGUAUUUAU